GGAAGUACCUCAGGCUGUGGAAGAG
rnacentral:piRNA from 1 species